rnacentral:misc_RNA from 1 species
UAUAAUACUAUUAUGUGGCCCAAAAAAAUAGCUGCAUCUGCUUAAAUAAAGGAGGAACAAGCGCUUGAGCAUAAUCUGAUUUCUAAAUGAUGGUAAAUUCUAUCAAAGGCCACAGCUGUCAAGCAGUGACAUUAGGCUACAUGAUUCACACUGACAGAGCUUGCGCUGUUAAGUAAAAGGGCAAUGCUACUUGUGCAUUAAUGAAAACAUAGAUUUGCAACUCACUCCCCACCCAGAAACUUAUCACUAGCAUUAUUUAAUUGUCUAAACGAUCUCCAUUCUCGCAUAAUGGAGAUGAUAAUGAGCAAACCAUUAAUAUUAAACCUGACAAUG